rnacentral:lncRNA from 7 species
GAAUACGCGUUUAUACGUCAGGGAGCGGACAAGCGCGAGGAGAGAAAAAACUAUCACAUCACAAAAUGAAAACGGGUCAAAGUAACCAUGGGCUUGCUGCCCUCGCCGCCGCGCAAAAAACACCCCGCGGGCCGUGUCCCCACCCGUACCCGAAUUCCAUUUCUUCCUCCCCUUUUUCCUUUCCACGCCUUCCCACCACUCCCAGACAGACCCCCUUUCCCCUCCCUCCUCGGCCUCCUCGACCACUCCGACGCCCACAGCGCCUCCGGCGAGCUCCACCUCUCCACCGGCGGCAGCGAGGGGCGAGGGGGCUA